rnacentral:tRNA from 1 species
GCCCAGGUAGCUCAGUUGGUAGAGCAGGGGACUGAAAAUCCCCGUGUCGGUGGUUCAAUUCCGCCCCUGGGCACCA